UCUAAAUUCUUACAUUUUUAGAUUUGAGCCCUAUUGUACCACUCUACUUGUUCAUGCUAUUAAACGGCUAUAUCUCUCAACAUCACUUUUUAUUUUAUUUUUGAAAACUUAACAUCGUAUUUGUUGUUAUGGCUUUUGAAUUGAUAUCUUAAGAGAAAUAUUGAUUUUGUUUUCUUUCUACCUACUGCAAAUAAGACUUUAUGAAACAAACAUCACGUAACACGUUAAUUCUAACGAUAAUUAAUUACAGUAGUACCCUCAAUGUAUUGAAUAUAUCCAAUUGUCAUUAUUAAAAAAAAUAUUUUUUUGUUUUUUAUUUUUUUUAUUUAGGUUCCUUUUUCUUCAUAUUUUUCAAAUAACCUUAUAAUUUAAAAAACAUUUAUAAAUUUAAAAAACAAACAAAACAAUUUAAAUAACAUAAACUAUGAUAUCGUCGCUUUAACCUGAGCUCAUAAACUUACGACACUUUAGGGUUUUUGAUCCCAUUGUUUCAUCUUCUUCCUCACAAUCCAAGAAUCCUCCAGUUACAGAUCCAUUUUAUUAAAGUCGUUCUUGGAUCCAUCAUCCACGAUGUAUCUUUAAUGCGAACUUUGCUCUUGGUAGGUGGUGGAACUUCAAGUAUAAAAAGAAGCAAGCAAAGCUUCAGAUUUGCGGACACCCCUGUUUCGCUCCUAUUCGAAGAGGUCUCUGAGAGCAGAAACUUCAUCCACAAGGAGCUGCUCCGUUUUCAAGGUUACGAGGAGUUAAUGUCAGUAGCUAAUACCAACUCCGAGUUACCUGGUUUGUUUAAUUCACCACGUUCCAACUCCAUCUUCUUAAUCCUUGAUAAUCAUUUCAUACACACCCAUAAUUCCAUAUGUUUUAUUCCAGAUAUUUUGGUAAGUUAUGGGUUUUACUUCCACUUUCAAGAAGAAACACAAAAGACUCCGCCAAUUAUGGCCAACCUCUGCAUCCAGAGCUCAUACCAAACUAUUCAUUUCAUGUAGGUGAUGACAAUCCCGGCCAUGAUAUGCCAGGAGCUGGAGCUGUAACAACAGACCCUUCUCAAAGUGUUGAAAGAGGUAUUCAUGACAACAGCAACAGACCCAGUAACCAUGUGAUGGUGGAAAGCCUCCCAGGAGAUGUUACCGAACCAAACGACACCCCUGUUUCAUCUGACAUGUCUUCUGCGGAGUCCCUCGAGGCAGAUGGUGUUCACUCUGCGAAGAAGCCACACCAUGGUUAAGCUUCAGAUUAUUGGAGUCCAAUUCAAAUUAGCUCAAUCUCACGACUGCUUUCUUAACCAGUUUUUUUAAUAUUUCAUAAACCGGAUAAGUAUCACUCAAGCUAUUUUCCUCAGUGUUUUAACUUUAAAUGUAUUUCCUCUUCUUUAUGAACUCUGCAGCUUCAACAAAGCUAUGUUUGCUUCCUUUUAAAAUUAUUUUAAACCUUAGAACUGGUUUGAUGCCCCGUCGUUAAGAGCAUUUUGUUAAC